GACGAACGCUGGCGGCGUGCUUAACACAUGCAAGUCGAACGGAAAGGCCCUGCUUUUGUGGGGUGCUCGAGUGGCGAACGGGUGAGUAACACGUGAGUAACCUGCCCUUGACUUUGGGAUAACUUCAGGAAACUGGGGCUAAUACCGGAUAGGAGCUCCUGCUGCAUGGUGGGGGUUGGAAAGUUUCGGCGGUUGGGGAUGGACUCGCGGCUUAUCAGCUUGUUGGUGGGGUAGUGGCUUACCAAGGCUUUGACGGGUAGCCGGCCUGAGAGGGUGACCGGCCACAUGGGGACUGAGAGACGGCGCAGACGCCUACGGGAGGCAGCAGGGGGGAAUAUUGCACAAUGGGCGGAAGCCUGAUGCAGCAACGCCGCGUGCGGGAUGACGGCCUUCGGGUUGUAAACCGCUUUCGCCUGUGACGAAGCGUGAGUGACGGUAAUGGGUAAAGAAGCACCGGCUAACUACGUG
rnacentral:rRNA from 1 species